rnacentral:rRNA from 1 species
AGUGAACGCUGGCGGUAGGCCUAACACAUGCAAGUCGAACGGCAGCACAGUAAGAGCUUGCUCUUACGGGUGGCGAGUGGCGGACGGGUGAGGAAUACAUCGGAAUCUACUUUUUCGUGGGGGAUAACGUAGGGAAACUUACGCUAAUACCGCAUACGACCUACGGGUGAAAGCAGGGGAUCUUCGGACCUUGCGCGAUUGAAUGAGCCUAUGUCGGAUUAGCUAGUUGGCGGGGUAAAGGCCCACCAAGGCGACGAUCCGUAGCUGGUCUGAGAGGAUGAUCAGCCACACUGGAACUGAGACACGGUCCAGACUCCUACGGGAGGCAGCAGUGGGGAAUAUUGGACAAUGGGCGCAAGCCUGAUCCAGCCAUACCGCGUGGGUGAAGAAGGCCUUCGGGUUGUAAAGCCCUUUUGUUGGGAAAGAAAGGCAGCAGGUUAAUACCCCGCUGUUCUGACGGUACCCAAAGAAUAAGCACCGGCUAACUUCGUG